rnacentral:tRNA from 1 species
UGCCGGGUGGUGUAAGGGUAACACAGCAGACUUUGGAUCUGCGUAUCCAGGUUCGAAUCCUGGCCCGGCAGCCG